rnacentral:rRNA from 1 species
AUGAACGCUGGCGGCGCGCCUAACACAUGCAAGUCGAACGGCACCCCUCUCCGGAGGGAAGCGAGUGGCGAACGGCUGAGUAACACGUGGAGAACCUGCCCCCUCCCCCCGGGAUAGCCGCCCGAAAGGACGGGUAAUACCGGAUACCCCCGGGCGCCGCAUGGCGCCCGGGCUAAAGCCCCGACGGGAGGGGAUGGCUCCGCGGCCCAUCAGGUAGACGGCGGGGUGACGGCCCACCGUGCCGACAACGGGUAGCCGGGUUGAGAGACCGACCGGCCAGAUUGGGACUGAGACACGGCCCAGACUCCUACGGGAGGCAGCAGUGGGGAAUCUUGCGCAAUGGGGGGAACCCUGACGCAGCGACGCCGCGUGCGGGACGGAGGCCUUCGGGUCGUAAACCGCUUUCAGCAGGGAAGAGUCAAGACUGUACCUGCAGAAGAAGCCCCGGCUAACUACGUGCCAGCAGCCGCGGUAAUACGUAGGGGGCGAGCGUUAUCCGGAUUCAUUGGGCGUAAAGCGCGCGUAGGCGGCCCGGCAGGCCGGGGGUCGAAGCGGGGGGCUCAACCCCCCGAAGCCCCCGGAACCUCCGCGGCUUGGGUCCGGUAGGGGAGGGUGGAACACCCGGUGUAGCGGUGGAAUGCGCAGAUAUCGGGUGGAACACCGGUGGCGAAGGCGGCCCUCUGGGCCGAGACCGACGCUGAGGCGCGAAAGCUGGGGGAGCGAACAGGAUUAGAUACCCUGGUAGUCCCAGCCGUAAACGAUGGACGCUAGGUGUGGGGGGACGAUCCCGCCGUGCCGCAGCCAACGCAUUAAGCGUCCCGCCUGGGGAGUACGACCGCAAGGUUGAAACUCAAAGGAAUUGACGGGGGCCCGCACAAGCAGUGGAGUAUGUGGUUUAAUUCGACGCAACGCGAAGAACCUUACCAAGUCUUGACAUCCCUUGACGAUGCUGGAAACAGUAUUUCUCUUCGGAGCAAGGAGACAGGUGGUGCAUGGUUGUCGUCAGCUCGUGUCGUGAGAUGUUGGGUUAAGUCCCGCAACGAGCGCAACCCCCGCCGCGUGUUGCCAUCGGGUGAUGCCGGGAACCCACGCGGGACCGCCGCCGUCAAGGCGGAGGAGGGCGGGGACGACGUCAAGUCAUCAUGCCCCUUAUGCCCUGGGCUGCACACGUGCUACAAUGGCCGGUACAGAGGGUUGCCACCCCGCGAGGGGGAGCGGAUCCCGGAAAGCCGGCCCCAGUUCGGAUUGGGGGCUGCAACCCGCCCCCAUGAAGUCGGAGUUGCUAGUAAUCGCGGAUCAGCAUGCCGCGGUGAAUACGUUCCCGGGCCUUGUACACACCGCCCGUCAAGCCAUGGGAGCCGGGGGUACCUGAAGUGCGUAACCGCGAGGAGCGCCCUAGGGUAAAACUGGUGACUGGGGCU